rnacentral:rRNA from 1 species
GACGAACGCGGCGGCGUGCCUAAUACAUGCAAGUAGAACGCUGAAGGAGGAGCUUGCUUCUCCGGAUGAGUUGCGAACGGGUGAGUAACGCGUAGGUAACCUGCCUGGUAGCGGGGGAUAACUAUUGGAAACGAUAGCUAAUACCGCAUAAGAGUAGAUGUCGCAUGACAUUUGCUUAAAAGGUGCAAUUGCAUCACUACCAGAUGGACCUGCGUUGUAUUAGCUAGUUGGUGGGGUAACGGCUCACCAAGGCGACGAUACAUAGCCGACCUGAGAGGGUGAUCGGCCACACUGGGACUGAGACACGGCCCAGACUCCUACGGGAGGCAGCAGUAGGGAAUCUUCGGCAAUGGACGGAAGUCUGACCGAGCAACGCCGCGUGAGUGAAGAAGGUUUUCGGAUCGUAAAGCUCUGUUGUAAGAGAAGAAUGAGUGUGAGAGUGGGAAGUUCACACUGUGACGGUAUCUACC